GUCAUUUCCUCUGUGGUGUUGAAGAGCAGCAGAGGGUUGAGAAAGGACAUCAAUGUCACCCUAAAAUUCUACCCUAGUGUUCACACACUGAGAGGCACUUAAGAUUCACCUAAGAACUACUCAAGUGUGCACACUUGGACUCCACCACAAAGAAAAGUAAAUCAAAGCAGACAUGGCCUCAGGAGUUUGGAGACUGACUCAUCCCUGCUUGCCCAGUACUCUGCACCCGUCGUGGACAAAUGUGAACAUGAGCAGUUGCAAUGAUGCUGAGUGAAGCUGGGGCUCUUCUCAUCAGGACCCGCUGAGUCAGCACAGGGCAUCAAUCACAUCAGGAC
rnacentral:lncRNA from 1 species